UACUUUUUUAAGGGGGGGGGUACACAAGUUAUAAUCAUGAUUUCUAUGUUUGCCACAAGAGGAGUCAGUGGAACAUCUAUGUGUUUUAUAAUCACUUAUGGAUUAGAGAGCUUAUUUCUUUAUCUCAAAAGUACAGAACUGAUAAAGAGAAUGAAGGGUUUCUUUUAUGAAAUGGGUAAACUUUGGUCCACACUCCAACAAUGAAGGUGGUGAUAAUGCACCUUAACGCUGGUGCUACCCACCAUAAAACAGAAGAAGAAGAAUCAAACAUCACUAUUCAAGAAUCAGCUACGGGAAAUAGGAGGACUGGACUGGAAGGACGAAUUUAAUUAAGAUAUAGUAAGUUAAAGUAAGAC